rnacentral:misc_RNA from 1 species
ACAAACUUGGUCAUUUAGAGGAAGUAAAAGUCGUAACAAGGUUUCCGUAGGUGAACCUGCGGAAGGAUCAUUCAUAAUAAAAGUGUAUUUUAUGGCACUUUUAAAACAAUCCAUAUCCACCUUGUGUGCAAUGUUUUUUUUUUUAUAAUAAACUCAUUUUUUUAACAUAUUUUGUCUGAAAUAUUUUUUAUGAAUUACUUAAUUCUAAAAUAUAACUUUCAACAACGGAUGUCUUGGCUCUCGCAUCGAUGAAGAACGCAGC